rnacentral:rRNA from 1 species
UACGGAGGGUGCAAGCGUUGUUCGGAAUUACUGGGCGUAAAGCGCGUGUAGGCGGUCUAGCAAGUCAGAUGUGAAAUCCCUUGGCUCAACCAAGGAAGGGCAUUUGAAACUGCUAGACUUGAGUACGGGAGGGGGAAGCGGAAUUCCCGGUGUAGAGGUGAAAUUCGUAGAUAUCGGGAGGAACACCGGUGGCGAAGGCGGCUUCCUGGACCGAUACUGACGCUGAGACGCGAAAGCGUGGGGAGCAAACAGG